rnacentral:rRNA from 1 species
UACGAAGGGUGCAAGCGUUACUCGGAAUUACUGGGCGUAAAGCGUGCGUAGGCGGUUCGUUAAGUCCGUUGUGAAAGCCCUGGGCUCAACCUGGGAAUGGCAGUGGAUACUGGCGAGCUAGAGUGUGAUAGAGGAUGGUGGAAUUCCCGGUGUAGCGGUGAAAUGCGUAGAGAUCGGGAGGAACACCAGUGGCGAAGGCGGCCAUCUGGAUCAACACUGACGCUGAGGCACGAAAGCGUGGGGAGCAAACAGGG